rfam:Proteobacteria bacterium ST_bin11 326, whole genome shotgun sequence.
GAAAUCCCGCCUCGGUAACUGCUAGCCACAGGCCGAGUAUCGAGCCUUGCAGGUAAGCUGGCAACAACUUGCUUGAUGCGUAGGCGCGAAAACAGGCGAGGAGUAAUGGUAACGGAUAAUGCCGACCAUGAAGGUGACAAGUCCCGAAAUGACUGGUUGCAGAGGGCUGAUGGUUUCAAGAUGCCAGCAAGCAACAAGACGAUCCGCGCUAAGGCAAGCCGAUGUCUCCACCCGGGAUAGUUAGCC